UCACUGUGUGAAUCUUGCUAUGUGGAGU
rnacentral:piRNA from 1 species